UUUUCUUCUUUCUUUUUAUAGCCAAGCUAAACCCUCCCCUGGUGUCCUAUCUUUGCAGGACUGUGUUUAUGCCUCCACCACCGAGAUCAUGGGCAAGAGACGUGGUCCAAGAUCAGAUUUGUUGAGGAUUAUCAGCUCCCCUGUUGAAUCGGGAGCUUCCCUGUUGAAGCGGGAAUGGAGAAGACGCACGACUGUUUCUAGGAACGGUGCCGUUUCGGCAAAAAAUAGGAAUUUUCAAUUCGAC
rnacentral:lncRNA from 1 species